UACGGGGGGAGCAAGCGUUGUUCGGAUUUAUUGGGCGUAAAGAGUUCGUAGGCGGUUCGUUAAGUCUGAUGUUAAAGACUGGGGCUCAACCCCGGGAGUGCAUUGGAUACUGGCGGACUGGAGUGUGGUAGAGGCUAGUGGAAUUCCCAGUGUAGCGGUGAAAUGCGUAGAUAUUGGGAAGAACACCAGUGGCGUAGGCAACUAGCUGGGCCAUAACUGACGCUGAGGAACGAAAGCCAGGGGAGCGAAUGGG
rnacentral:rRNA from 1 species